UUUAGGUUAACUAAAAUUGCAUUUGUAUCAUGAAAAAUAUAAGCAAACAUAAAUAUAACAUAGAUUUAAGCAAAAUUUGACACUUUACAGAGUGAAACAGGAAACACUUGUAGGAUUCGAAUUUUGUAAAAUAAUUGUUUGCUGAAUGGUUUAAUCACUCAUUGGCCUCAUUCGUUGCCGAAUAUGUUAAAUACUCGCCAACUAAAGGAAUAAUAGUUAAAAUAUCCUGUACUGGUGGGUUACGUAUAGAGUAGGUGAGAACGAGAAGAACAUGGUAAUGCACAGCUAUGGUUAAGGUAAUGGAAGAUAAAUUAGCGAGAUUUUUACAUAAGUCUAGUUUCCCCCUAUGUGUCAUUAAUUCUUAUCAACGGAAAUGGUGAUUUUUAAUUUAGUUCAUUAAAAUGUGGUAUUCGUUUCCGCAAAUAGUUCAAAAUCUGCUUUUGUUGCGAUAAAAGCAUUUUGGAGGUAACAAAAACAAAUUUUGAAAAAAUCACAUAGUUGGAAAUAGCCGGAAAUAUAGACGAAUUUCAAAAUUAGAAUCCAGAAAGUGGACAAAAUAAUUUUAUUUAUAAUUGAGAAGUCUAAAGUAACCAGUAUCUUCAAAAGACUGCUACUAUAUUACCGAGCUGUGGAAUUUUGCCUGAACAAAUUAUGAAAGUAUGGCUAGCAUACGCAGACUAGAGCAAGGAAAAUAUAUAAGUGCAUAAACAUUCGGGGAGGAGUAUUAUCGUAUAUGAAAUUUAUCAAUAGAUAAGACAUAAGAGGUUCUUAUGGGUUUGCGAAAUUGGAGUAACCGUUCUUGUUUUAGACGUCAGACAAUUGCAACAAAUGAGUAAUUCGCAGCAGAAGGCUAGCGUGAUAUUUGGCGAGUCCUAAGGUUAAGUAUUAAAUCAAAGUUUGGUACUCCCGUAGUAUGUGUACCGGGUUAGGGUUAGGCUAUAAUUUUAUUCCAAUUUUCCUUAUUUUAGUUAUAUUACGAGUUCGGGGACUGUCUAUUUUUUGUGACUCCAUCAUUUUGCGAGCUAGCUAUCCCUCGGUGGUGGUGUAAAAAUCUUUUACAAAGAUAUCAAUAUUGAAUAUUGGGACUAUUAAUGGCAUAUUCAGAAUUAUUAGAGGUUGAGCUUAAUAUGAAAUAAUAUGCAGUGUGAGGUGACAUAUUUGUAAAGUUAAAGACGAAUUUCGGUAAAUGCCACAAGUCUUUCAUCAAUUAAACUUCACCUCUUAUUGAGAGCCAAGAGUUUACUACUAUAGAGAGUCGCAGUUAGAAAAGCAAUUUCUGUGGCUUUGUGUUCGAAAAAAACAAUUUGCUAAUUUAAUGAUAGCUUAGCAUCUGUAUAUAAAAAACUUGGGAUCGCAAUUUUCUGAAUACUCUUUUUGCGGUCAGUAUAUAGAUAUGGUAUUGAAAUUGCUAGUUUGAACCCUUGAAAGUAGUUACUAUUUUAUUAUUCAGAAAUUUUAUGGUUAUCUACUUAUUAUUCUGAGAAAUUUUUUUUUUAAUAAGUCUCAAACGGCACAAUAUCGAUAAUUGUGAGAUCUAAUUGACGCCCAUUCAGAAUUUUAAGCAGCAACCGAACAGCUGUUUAUGUUUCAGAAGGCCGAAAUCUUUUUGGUCCGGCAUGGCUUAUUCAUUACCUCGCCCUGGGGGAAGUGUGGCCGCGUAAUAUAAUCCGGGAAGGGAAACCGCGAUGCUAACGUAAUUAAAUCGAAUAACCGCUAGGUUACUUUCCCGAUAUUCUGUAUUUUACAUUGAUUUAACAGAAUAGAAUUGUUUUGUUUUUGUUGUUGUAUUGUUAAUGCAAUCCAUGCAUUCCUCCUCCCUACGAAUUAAAACUCUAUUUUCAUUUGUUUUCCAAUAUUGAAUGAAUUGUGAGCUAGAUAUAAGCGCAAUUCGCACUUCGUUUUUUUGCAAAGUUCGGAUAGUGUAUGACCUGCACAUAAAUAUACAUUACAAUAAUAAUAAACAAAAAAAUAUUAAUAUUACUACAUGCAAACACAAAGCUAAAUUUCCUCCUCUGAAACAGUAAAGUUCCGACCUGCAAAGAAAUCACUCGCCGAUUAGGAAGCGCUAUUUUAAACCUUUAAAUAAAAUAAUUAUGGAUUCGGGCUUCCAAAAGUGUGUCGAAAUGUUAGAUGGUAUAUUGUGAUUUGAAUAAUACAAUUCAAAUCAUGUAGAUAAAAGAUGAUAAAGACAAUAUAGCAAUCGUCUAACUGCGCUUUUUGUUCUUCUUCUUCAUUCUUCUUUUGUUCUUCAUCUUUUGCGCUUUUUGUUCUUCUCUUUCAUGGGAGUUAAUUUAUUUUGGAACUGGACUAGACUUCAAUUUUAAACACUUUGGGUGAGGUGGCAUGGGAUUUAAACCCCAGUACUUUGUAUUUCGUUGGUGUCAAAGGAGAAAAUUCUGCCGGAAAAAUUGGCAAAGACAGCUCUCCUACAUCAGUUCAUACAUUACCUGGAGCGCCAUCCAUUAUCCUGAUCCAACCACUGUCAACAUCAGUAUAUAUCGGGUUUCAACUGAGAAACUAUGCAAGAGUGUCGGAAUGGGCAAUUCAAUAUCGAGAAGUUGGAGCCGUUGCUGUGCCAACAAUAGUUACGACACCUAACGGUCAAUAUUUUCAGUUCUGGUAUGAAUAACGUAUAUUGAAAUGUGCAUUGCUCCAAUGGUAAAUGCGGUCCAAAAUUAGCAGUGGUAGAUUCAGUACUUGUACCGGACACUGUUCGGAGCUGGAUUUGUGAAUGAGGGUCUUUGAAAAAUCCGGAUGUCUAGAUAAAAUAUUGAAUAUCUGAUAUAUUGACAGCAAGAAUAUUGUAUUUAAUUAAGAGAAAAAAGUGGAAACUUCGGAAAAUUUAACAUGAAGUAAAGUUAAAAAAAACUGAACGUCACUUAAAAUAUAUAGACGCAGCUCAAUAAGCUUAAUGCAGUUUAAGACAAUAAGUCAUUUCAAUUAAAAUUUACAAGUCUCUCUUUACCUUUAGUAAAGGUAAUUAAUGUCUUAACCGCUUCUACAGUUCACUUAAUAAUAAUAAUUUUCCACUUUUUAUCCAGGUUAUCAAAUCUAGAGCCUGACACACAGUAUGAAAUCCGAGCGCGAGUGUCCCAGUUAUACGGAACAAAUACUUUAUCAGAAACGGCUAUUUCUUCUUGGCAAAUUUUUGCAACAGCUCAAAGAGAAAGUGAUGGAAUCAGAACAAAGAGAGAAAACGCUUGAAGGAUCUUCAACAGGGGUCAGUUUAUUAGGUCAAAUCAAGGGCACUCCCUAGUGUGUGUACCAGGUUAGGGUUAGGCCAACAUUUUAUUCCGAUUCUCCUUCCCCCUGCCCAUAGGUUUUAGUCCAUUUACCCAACUUGAUGUAAAGUAUGCGAACAAAAUUAGUUACCUCCAUAUUGGUACACACACUUCUGGACGAAUCAAGAUUAUUUUUUAACCAGUAAAUAAUGAGCGUUAGUAAUAAUUAGCGUUUAAAAUCUACUGUUUUUAAUGGUGUGAGCCGUAUACGAAUUAUCUGGGUAAUAUGGCGUACUCCAGCUACCGUGUUUCCCCGAAAAUAGGACCCAGUCCGAAUUCUAAAAAUGAUUUUAAUAAAAGCCCUACUCUUAAAAUAAGUACCUAGUAAAUGGAUAUCGGUUUUCAUA